GUGAGUCAUCGAAUCUUUGAACGCACAUUGCACCCUCUGGUAUCCUGGGGGGUAUGCCUGUUCGAGCGUCAUUGCAACCCUCAAGCACUGCUUGGCAUUGGAUACUACCUCUUGGGUAUGUCUCAAAAAUAUUAGCAGUGGCAUUCAGCUUCUAGUGUAGUAAUUUUCUCGCUCAGGAGUCAUGAGUGUCUUACUGCUAGAACCCUCUAAUUCAUCACAAGGUUGACCUCGGAUCAGGUAGGGAUACCCGCUGAACUUAAGCAUAUCAAUAAGCGGAGGA
rnacentral:misc_RNA from 1 species